rnacentral:rRNA from 1 species
GAUGAACGCUGGCGGCGUGCCUAAUACAUGCAAGUCGAGCGAACAGAUAAGGAGCUUGCUCCUUUGACGUUAGCGGCGGACGGGUGAGUAACACGUGGAUAACCUACCUAUAAGACUGGGAUAACUUCGGGAAACCGGAGCUAAUACCGGUUAACAUAUUGAACCGCAUGGUUCAAUAGUGAAAGGCGGCUUUGCUGUCACUUAUAGAUGGAUCCGCGCCGUAUUAGCUAGUUGGUAAGGUAACGGCUUACCAAGGCAACGAUACGUAGCCGACCUGAGAGGGUGAUCGGCCACACUGGAACUGAGACACGGUCCAGACUCCUACGGGAGGCAGCAGUAGGGAAUCUUCCGCAAUGGGCGAAAGCCUGACGGAGCAACGCCGCGUGAGUGAUGAAGGUCUUCGGAUCGUAAAACUCUGUUAUCAGGGAAGAACAAAUGUGUAAGUAACUGUGCACAUCUUGACGGUACCUGAUCAGAAAGCCACGGCUAACUACGUGCCAGCAGCCGCGGUAAUACGUAGGUGGCAAGCGUUAUCCGGAAUUAUUGGGCGUAAAGCGCGCGUAGGCGGUUUUUUAAGUCUGAUGUGAAAGCCCACGGCCUCAACCGUGGAGGGUCAUUGGAAACUGGAAAACUUGAGUGCAGAAGAGGAAAGUGGAAUUCCAUGUGUAGCGGUGAAAUGCGCAGAGAUAUGGAGGAACACCAGUGGCGAAGGCGACUUUCUGGUCUGUAACUGACGCUGAUGUGCGAAAGCGUGGGGAUCAAACAGGAUUAGAUACCCUGGUAGUCCACGCCGUAAACGAUGAGUGCUAAGUGUUAGGGGGUUUCCGCCCCUUAGUGCUGCAGCUAACGCAUUAAGCACUCCGCCUGGGGAGUACGACCGCAAGGUUGAAACUCAAAGGAAUUGACGGGGACCCGCACAAGCGGUGGAGCAUGUGGUUUAAUUCGAAGCAACGCGAAGAACCUUACCAAAUCUUGACAUCCUUUGACCACUCUAGAGAUAGAGUUUUCCCCUUCGGGGGACAAAGUGACAGGUGGUGCAUGGUUGUCGUCAGCUCGUGUCGUGAGAUGUUGGGUUAAGUCCCGCAACGAGCGCAACCCUUAAGCUUAGUUGCCAUCAUUAAGUUGGGCACUCUAAGUUGACUGCCGGUGACAAACCGGAGGAAGGUGGGGAUGACGUCAAAUCAUCAUGCCCCUUAUGAUUUGGGCUACACACGUGCUACAAUGGACAAUACAAAGGGCAGCUAAACCGCGAGGUCAAGCAAAUCCCAUAAAGUUGUUCUCAGUUCGGAUUGUAGUCUGCAACUCGACUACAUGAAGCUGGAAUCGCUAGUAAUCGUAGAUCAGCAUGCUACGGUGAAUACGUUCCCGGGUCU